CCGCGCUGUGGACGACGCCGCACGCCCCUGGUGGGGGCGUGCGGUCACAUCGUGCCGGUGCCGACGUUCAGGACGUUGCCGUCCGGA
rnacentral:tRNA from 1 species